GAUCAUUUUAGAAAUGUUGAAGCAAUCAUGAGGAACUUGUACUAGUAUAUCGGGUAAAUUUUUAAAAAUUGCCGAUUAUUUUAGUCACGAUUGAAGUUUGAACGGUACAUAUCGAGCCCUGAAAAAUCUUCUUGGAUUUUCAUCAUUAAACUAACGGUCUGAAGAUCUGCAACUUGAAUGCUGCAUCCCAUUACCCCAAUAGGGAGAUGCACUUUGUGUAGCCUUGAUCAAAAUGAAUUUCUUCAAGUAUGCAUUGCUGCUUAUGUAUGCUGUAUCUCUGGAGAUCCGCGGAUGCUUCUCAAUGGAACCGGAAAGCUACUUUUACCUUCUUCAGUCCUUUGUUGAUGACAUCGGUCCCGGGAACUACAGCUACUUCAAGCUUUCUAGACAGGGCAAUGUGAGAAUAUUUGUGGAAACCCUGUCAGGAGAUGCAGAUAUUUAUGUGUCACAGGCCAACUCCAAGCCCAGUUUUGAAGAUUAUGAUUUUAAAUCUGUUACCUGCGGUGAAGACUAUGUGGAUAUUCCUGAGAGCUUCAAACGGCCCACUGCCAUAGCGAUUUAUGGACACCCGAGGUACCCGGAAACCAGGUUCAGAUGUUCUGUCUAUUUGGAUACCCGGGAUGCUGCACAGAAUGAUGCUAAUUUUCCAGAGCCUCAUCGAUUUGAUACUCCUGAAGAGGAUGAACAUCCGGGAUGGCUCUUUCUCCUCAAAAUUCUGGAGUUUGUACUAGAUAUAGCACUUUAGCAAUGGGAAAACACAUUUUUGCUCUAAAUUACUUUGAAAAAAUCACUAAUGAGUAACAUGUAUUAAAGCAAGAUACUAUAAUGAUAUAAAAAGUUAAUAUUUUUCACUCCUUUGUUUUCCGGGUCCAGGGUGUUUUUGGUGGGGUUUUUUUACAAAAGAUAUUUUUAAUUUUAUUUUUCAGAAACUUUUUAAAGGGGUAUCAUUACAUACGAAAUAAGUAUGUAUGUACAUGUAAUAAAUGAAAUAAGUAUGUAGUUACUGGAAUUAUCAAAAUAUUAAGUUGUAAUGAUUUUAUACAUGAUGUUAUGUUUAAUACAAUUUACAUGUAUGGUAACCUGUUAUUAUCAUGGGUCAAUUGAUCAAGGUAUUGAUAUGUAAACAAGUGCCUUUAACAAAUAUCACCCAUCCAGAUUAAAUCAUAUAUCUGCUACAUGUACAUUGAUUUUGGUAAAAGUAUAAUUUUUAUUGAAGGACUGGAUUCCUUGUACAAAAUGAUGGUCAUCCAUUUUUGUUUAAAGUGAUGGUGAACAUUGUCAAUGCAUGUCAAUUUGAGUAGAUGAUGAGAGGAUAUUUUCUUGAACUGCAAUUUAAAACUCAAACUACAUGUUAGAUUAGCUUCAUGUUCACUUAGUACAUGUAGUUCUAUGCAUUUCACAUUGAUGACAUUCCUUGUUGAUAUUGUAUGUUCUUUCAGACUGUUUAUUAUAAGCUUCUCACUGGGAUGCAGUGAAAUUUAACUUGGGCAUGGAGGAAAAUUACUGAAUGAUUCAGGCAUGACCUUGUUUUUUUAAAAGGUAACUUGAUUGCUUAUUCUAAUGUACAUGCUAUUAAAUUUAUGAUAGUACUGUAUUUCACCCUUAUAAAUUUACAUAUAGUGGCAGGAGAGUUCAUUUUCAUGUGCAUGUAUGUACAAUGACCCUGCCAUUGUAGGUUGUAUUGAGAACCAAUAAUUGGUAUUCAAAACCAUGUACAUUGUAUUUUUCAUCAUAGAAUGUUCAGAAAUGCCAGUGAGUAGGAGUUCUGAUUUGAUUGGGUUGGAUUUAUUUAAACUGCAUUUUGUUUAAUUCAAUUUUUUGAUUUUUUUUUCUCACUUAUUUCAUAUUUACAUGUACAAUAGGCCUACAUGUAUUCUACUGGAAUUUGUUUUGUAAAAUUCAACUGAAUUUUAGUGUUUUUUUUUUCUAUUUAGAUAGUCAAAAUGAAUGAACUGUGUUUUUAAACCCUCACAGAUUCAAAGAAUAAGAUGAAGAGCAUCAAGUGCAUGUACAAUGAAAAAGCUGUUGAAACUGUAUGCAAUCCUCACUUUAUUAAAUUCUUUUAUUUAUUCAUUUUUUUUUGCAUCUCCCACACCCCAAUUUUGACGGUAGGCCUUGAUUUACAAGCAUGUAUAGAGGAAGAGCUAUUCUGAUAUGAAGAGACAGUUUUCGAAAAUUUCAUUUUUACAUGAAAAUUAGAAAUAAUAUAGAUAUUUGCCUUAUGACUAUCACUAGUUGCAAGUUUCAGCUAGAAAGUUAUGAAUAGUUUUGGCAAAAUAUCUGCUGUAGAAACAUACAAAAUAAAAAAGAUCCAUGUAUUCUAUCAAUCCAUUUGUAAAUUGUUGAUAUACAAAUAUGUUAAGUGUAGUUUGCAUUAUUACAGUUUUUUGACAAAAUCCAGAUUUUUAGGGAAAGAAAAUACAUUAUAAAUGAAUAACUAAACCUGUUUUUAGUAGUAGCAAGCUAUUAGUGUGCACUUUUUAAUAGAAAUAUGAUCAAUUCAUAAUAUAAUCUGCAUUGAUUGUUGUCUAUGCAUUCCAUAUGGAUACCUGUUUAUUUAUGUACAAACUUGAACAUCACAAUCUCAACUCCUGUAUGUUUUGAAUUACCACUAUUUGCUUAGAAUUCAUGAUGUUUCCUUCUAAGUAAAAUAACAUUUUCUGCCAUUUCAAUAAAGGUUAUUCAAAUAUUUUCAAUUUACCAUUUUAUAUGUUUCUUCUGAGAAUUUAUUUUCAUGUUUUUGCAGUAGUAAUCAAUUUCAUCUUGUCAUUUGUUGUUAAUGGUUGCACAGCUGAGCUCGACUAUUUAAUGAGCACAAACUUUUGCUAAUACUAAACAACACACAUUUAAACUUCAGCACAAAAGUGAAAAUAUUACUUUGUUUGAAGAUUGGAAUGGACUACAUGUGGCAUUGAACAAAACAAAACAUACAGGUAAUGUGUUACAGUUCAUCAUUCGUAGAAUUUCAAUUCAUUGUUAUUUUGUUAUUGUGUUGUUAUACAGUAAUUCUAAGGUGGAUUUUGUUCCAUUUUGUGAAAGUUUCUGUAGAAAUUAAUCCUUUUACUUUAGUUUGAACAUACCGAUACCGUUUAAGGAUUGUGUCAAUCAGAAAGAGAAGAUGCAGAUUUUUUUUAAUGUGUUUAGUGUGUAUUUGUAACUGCCAUUAAAUAUCGUUUUUGUUUGCUGUUCAUGUUUAUUUUUGUCAAGAAGGUGUUGAUUAAUCAAUGAUUGUUGCCACAAAUCAUUUGAUCUGUAACACCUUGCCAAAUUAAAUUAUUUUUUAUAUCAAAUGAUUGGUGAAAGAAUUAAA